GCGCGGUGGGGGGGCGGUGCGCUUCGUGGCCUACGACCCCGCGCCGCGCCUCGGCGGCGUGCCGCGCGUCCUGCUCGCGUUGCCGCGUCCC
rnacentral:tRNA from 1 species